UUGGCGGACGGGUGAGUAACGCGUGGGUAACCUGCCUCACACUGGGGGAGUAACAGUUAGAAAUAGCUGCUAAUACCGCAUAAGCGCACAGUUCCGCAUGGAACGGUGUGAAAAACUCCGGUGGUGUGAGAUGGACCCGCGUCUGAUUAGCCAGUUGGCGGGGUAACGGCCCACCAAAGCGACGAUCAGUAGCCGGCCUGAGAGGGUGAACGGCCACAUUGGGACUGAGACACGGCCCAA
rnacentral:rRNA from 1 species